rnacentral:rRNA from 1 species
GACGAACGCUGGCGGCGUGCCUAAUACAUGCAAGUUGAGCGCUUAAGGUUGGUACUUGUACCAACUGGAUGAGCAGCGAACGGGUGAGUAACGCGUGGGGAAUCUGCCUUUGAGCGGGGGACAACAUUUGGAAACGAAUGCUAAUACCGCAUAAAAACUUUAAACACAAGUUUUAAGUUUGAAAGAUGCAAUUGCAUCACUCAAAGAUGAUCCCGCGUUGUAUUAGCUAGUUGGUGAGGUAAAGGCUCACCAAGGAGAAGAUACAUAGCCGACCUGAGAGGGGGAGCAGCCAGAUUGAGACUGAGACACGGCCCAACCUCAUUGGGGAAGCAGCAGUAGGGAAUCUUCGGCAAUGGACGAAAGACUGACCGGGCAGCGCCGAGUGAGUGAAGAAGGUUUUCGGAUCCGAAAACACUGUUGGUAGGGAAGAACGUAGGUGCGAGUGGAAAGCUCAUCAAGUGACGGUAACUACCCAGAAAGGGACGGCUAACUACGUG